rnacentral:rRNA from 1 species
UACGUAGGUUGCGAGCGUUAAUCGGAAUUACUGGGCGUAAAGCGUGCGCAGGCGGUGUGCUGUGUCCGAUGUGAAAGCCCCGGGCUCAACCUGGGAACCGCGCUUGAGACUGGCAUGCUCGAGUUCGGGAGAGGAUGGUGGAAUUCCCAGUGUAGAGGUGAAAUUCGUAGAUAUUGGGAAGAACACCGAUGGCGAAGGCAGCCAUCUGGACCGACACUGACGCUGAGGCGCGAAAGCGUGGGGAGCAAACAGG